UGAGGAAUAUUGGUCAAUGGGCGAGAGCCUGAACCAGCCAAGUAGCGUGCAGGAUGACGGCCCUAUGGGUUGUAAACUGCUUUUGUAUGGGGAUAAAGUCAAUCACGUGUGAUUGUUUGCAGGUACCAUACGAAUAAGGACCGGCUAAUUCCGUGCCAGCAGCCGCGGUAAUACGGAAGGUCCGGGCGUUAUCCGGAUUUAUUGGGUUUAAAGGGAGCGUAGGCUGGAGAUUAAGUGUGUUGUGAAAUGUAGACGCUCAACGUCUGACUUGCAGCGCAUACUGGUUUCCUUGAGUACGCACAACGUUGGCGGAAUUCGUCGUGUAGCGGUGAAAUGCUUGGAUAUGACGAAGAACUCCGAUUGCGAAGGCAGCUGACGGGAGCGCAACUGACGCUGAAGCUCGAAGGUGCGGGUAUCGAACAGGAUUAGAUACCCUGGUAGUCCGCACAGUAAACGAUGGAUGCCCGCUGUUGGUACUUGGUAUCAGCGGCUAAGCGAAAGCAUUAAGCAUCCCACCUGGGGAGUACGCCGGCNACGGU
rnacentral:rRNA from 1 species